rnacentral:rRNA from 1 species
CCUACGGGUGGCAGCAGUGAGGAAUAUUGGUCAAUGGGCGCGAGCCUGAACCAGCCAAGUAGCGUGAAGGAUGACUGCCCUACGGGUUGUAAACUUCUUUUAUAAAGGAAUAAAGUGAGGCACGUGUGCCGUUUUGUAUGUACUUUAUGAAUAAGGAUCGGCUAACUCCGUGCCAGCAGCCGCGGUAAUACGGAGGAUCCGAGCGUUAUCCGGAUGUAUUGGGUUUAAAGGGAGCGUAGAGGGGUUGUUAAGUCAGUUGUGAAAGUUUGCGGCUCACCCGGAAAAUUGCAAUUGAUACUGGCAGCCUUGCGUACCGUUGAGGUAGGCGUACUUCGUGGUGUCGCGGU